rnacentral:rRNA from 1 species
GAUGAACGCUGGCGGCGUGCUUAACACAUGCAAGUCGAACGGAAAGGCCCAAUCUUGCUUGGGUACUCGAGUUGCGAACGGGUGAGUAACCCGUGGGUGAUCUGUCCUGCACUUCGGGAUAAGCCUGGGAAACUGGGUCUCAUACCGGCUAGGACCACAUUUUGGUGGGUGUGGUGGAGAGGUUUUCGGUGUUGGGUGAGCUCGCGGCCUAUCAGCUUGUUGGUGGGGUGAUGGCCUACAAGGGCGUCGACGGGUACCCGGCCUGAGAGGGGGUACGGCCACCUGGCACCUGGGAAACGGGACACGGUCCUGACUGAGGCGGGAGUGGGGAAUGUGGCACAAUGGGCGAAAGCCUGAAGCAGGAACGACGCGUGGGGGGUGACGGAUUUAGGGUUGUAGGCUGCUUAGGCUAGGGACGAAGGAUUUUUGUGACGGUACCUGGAGAAGAAGCACCGGCUAACUACGUG